AACCUCCUGUGGGCUACUUCCAAGCAUGAUGUGUACGUGAUGCGGAACCUCCUGUGGGGAACAAGCAGCGAAGCCUCUUCAUUUCGAGCAGCGAUAGCCUAAUUGGUAUACCACCGCCAAUCCAUAUCCAGAUCAGCUGCGUCGCCGGUUCCGCCGUCUACGACCGCACUCCCCCAUCCGCGCCGUUGAUCGGGCCAGCUCACCUCCUUCUUAAUGGUCGCGCGCUGGGAGAGCCCUCUUCCGGCAGCGACACAACUGUGUCUGGUGCCGUACAAGGGACGCCGUCGCAGGAUGUUGUCGUCGUCCUUUCCUAACGCCGCUGAGUUGAGCUGCAGGUUUUCCUUGAUGCUACAUAUGUUAGUUUCUUUUGGUAAACUAGAAACUAACAUCAAAAUCAAUUCCUCUUUAGAGUGCGUUGCUUGUAUCCACUAGUUGGUUCUAUUGCUUACUGCCUGUCGACUCUCUUUAAGUACUAGUGGUAUUGCUGCUGGUUAGAUGGGAAUUGCUGAAUGAUUGCCAAAG